AUUACCCUCGUGAACAUCUUGAGUUCUUGUCUACCCAGAAAAUCAUAUCUGGGGUUUUAGUUUCUGUUUGUUUCUCCUCCAAUAUCUCCAUACACACUCUCUCUUGUCUCUACGCUACCGAUUUGAUUGGUUUGAUUAUGAGAAAUUGGUCGUUUUAGACCCGUUUCAUUAUUGAUCUAGGCCACUAUAUGAGUCCGAGAAGUUCGGGACCUCCAUCGUCGACUUUUGGGAGCCUUGAGUGCUUAUGGUUGAGCCCCGGGAGUUAGACUCAGUGAUAUGGGCGAGCUACAUUGAAGAUUGCAAAUCGCCCUGGAAGCUGAGGGCGAAAUGCAACCAUCGGGCGGAAUUAUAAGCAAUCUGGAUUCAUCAACGCGCGUCCGAUCGGGCGCAGCUCGCCCGAUCCGGAUCGGGCGGUCAAUCUGGAGGCUAUGUGGAGAGUUCACAAACCGCCCGAUCGGGCGGAUUUUGGCCCGAUCGGGCCGACUAUCGAGUGGAUCGCCCGAUCGGGCGACGCCAACCCCCAGCACUUAUGCGCGAGUUUUCUUUCCGUUUUUUAGGCUUUAUUUUGGGCAAACUAUAUAAGCAAGCCUUAAUUGUUUUUAGAGAACACUUUAUUUUCUAGUAUUGAAGCUUAGUAUUAUUUCCCUUAGCCUAAUUUUCUCUCUAGUUUAUGCAAAAACACUUAGUUUAAUUCUCAAUAAAAAUUCAAGCUUUCACUUUC